rnacentral:rRNA from 1 species
UACAGGGGGUGCUAGCGUUGUUCGGAAUUACUGGGCGUAAAGGGCGCGUAGGCGGCUCAACAAGUCAGAUGUGAAAUCCCCGGGGCUUAACUCCGGACGUGCAUUUGAAACUGUUAGGCUAGAGUGCAGUAGAGGAUGGUGGAAUUCCCAGUGUAGAGGUGAAAUUCGUAGAUAUUGGGAGGAACACCGGUGGCGAAGGCGGCCAUCUGGGCUGCAACUGACGCUGAGGCGCGAAAGCGUGGGGAUCAAACAGG